CCAGCUCUGGGUCCUGAGGCAGGGGAGGGCUGCCCGAAGCCAGCAGCUCGGCUCUUACAUUCUGAGAGGGGGGGAGCAGCUCAGCUGGAGCCCAGCCAGUAGACCCUCACGGGACAGCAGAGAAAGCCGUUGGAAUGUUUCACUAGCCAGACCACAUACAAUAGGUACCCUGCAGCUAACAAGAGGAGCCUCUUCCAACGACUAAAGGAAGUUCAUGACCGCUUAGUCGCCAACAUUUUAAAUUGCAACUGUAAUUUAUGGGAGAUUUCCCUUUCCUGUCAUCUAUGCUACAACGGAGGUACCAAAUGACAGGGAUCAUGAAAGCCAGAAAACUGGCAGCAAAGAGUCCCCAACUCAGAGGAAGAAAAUGUAGUUGCUGUGUGUACUGCCCUCCUAAUGACCUCAACCUCUGACAGGAAUCAGUGAGGGAGAAAGAUAUUUCAGUGCCCAAGCAGGCUCAGACAGCAAGGUCACAGAUUGCAAUGUAACAGAAUAUCAGGGAUACAUGAGCCCAGGAUUUCCCAUCGUUUCAAAGGCUUGUCAGCACCAAGAGUAAGUAAAGACCGUGCCAGCUGUUUAUGGAUGAAGGAUGCUUUAUUUUCAAGGGGGAAAUGCAACCCACCCUGAAAUUUUCCCUUUUGUGUUCUGAACUUUAUAAUGGAUUCUUCAUACAUCUUGGAUUAAAUUCACUUCGUUCUAAUUUUGGGUAAGAAUAUACACAGCAACAACCUGACUUCUUUUUUUUAAAAACGAACUAUCCACAUGUGAAUUACGCUUCUUUUCAAACCAGGUUUUUUUUAAAUCACUUCACAUUUUUGUUUUACAAAAAUCAGUGGGAGUUUCACUGUAUAAUCUUCAGAGGGCUGUAAUUCGAGGUCCAUUUUAGAUCCAGGAACUGUUCGGUGUUACGGCAAAGGAAGGGUUUAUAAAUGAUAAUGCAUAGACAGCAAUUGUAGUUCGGAGCAGAGGGCACCAGUAUCAUAUUGUUUAGGCAAGGGCUAUAAGGUGGCUGUGAUGGGUUAUGUGGCCCCUUAGGAAGCCACCUGAUGUGCUGACAUACCACUGAGUAUCACUGCUCCAGGCCAAUGGGGGCUGCGGGCAGGGCCGACGAGAGGGGGGGGAAAGCCGGUACAAAUGACCAGGGCCCAGCGGUCCGGAAGGGGGCCCGGGGCCCGACUAUGUUGCAUAUGUUUUUGUCUUUCUCGGUAGUAUCAUUAUUUUUUGCCGGUCUGCCUUUGCUGGGGGGACCGAAUUUUUUUUUUUCACCGGGGCCCGAACCCGUUCUCGGCGGCCCUGGCUGUGGGAAGUGGGGUGGGCCUAGGGAUGUACUGGCCGCCGCUUCCUGCAGCCCCCAUUGGCCUGGAGCAGUGAACUGUGGCCAGUGGGAGCCGCGAUCGGCCGAACCUACAGACGCGGCAGGUAAACAAACCGGCCCGGCCCGCCAGGGGCUUUCCCUGAACAAGCAGCAGACCGGCUUUGAGAACCACUGCUCUAACACACACACAGGCACAGCCACACGCAGCUGCAGAUCAGCUCUGGGAAGACUCAGCUUAAGGAACUUGCUCCAGCACUCUGGUGCUCACUCCUUUUAAGGGGUGCAAACCCAAAGGUUUUAUGAAAUUCGCCCCCUCCCUCAAUGUGGAGAGAGGUGUGCACACUUCUUGCCCCCCAGUUAGAAAUUACAGAAACUGGGUUUAAUAAUAAACAAAACAAAUGUUAACUAUAAGAGGCAGAUUUUAAGUGGUAAAAGGGGUAAGAAACAGAACAAAGCAGAUUACUGACCAAAUGAAAUCAAACACUCAAACUAAGCUAGUUUCACUAAAGAAAUUGGUUACAAAUAGUAUUUCUCACUUUAGAUGUUGUUGCAGGCAGGUUGCAAAGUUUCUGUAGUUCAGAGUUCCAGUUAUAUUCCUUUUCAGUCUGGACCCCUGUCUCAGUCUGGACUCCCCCUUUGCCUUCCCUUCAGGUGGCUUUUGCAGUCUUUCUUCUUGGGCAGACAGCCAUGGAGAGGAGGAGUCCAGUUUGCCUUCCUCCUCACCCUCAAAUAGGAUUUACAUAAGGAGGGAAUCCUUCGUUUCCCAAACUUGCCCCCCUUUCCUUCCAGUGGAAAGUUACAAGAAGUCCCAGGUAAUGUUUUAGUAUCAGGUGACAAGACCACCUGACUCUGUAGGAUCACAGCGUCCAUGAGUCAGUGGCAGUAUGGAGCAUCCACAGGAAGGCCAACCUUUUCACAGUCCAUUGUCCUCACUGAUGGGCCAUCCGCCCUGUCUGGCUUUUCCAUUGUUAUACCUGAAGUGAUAGCAGUGGGCGUCACCCAAAGUAGCAUAGUGGAACUAUAGAUACAUGUCAAUAUUCCUAACUUCAGAUACAGAAAUGACACAGGCAUACAAAUUGCAUAAUCGCAUUCGGUAAAUCAUAACCUUUCCAAUGAGAUCUCACAUGAGCGAUCUUGCAUAAAGUAUAUCUCAGUUAUAUCACAUUCCUAUCAUAAGCAUCUUUUCAUAAAGAAUAUGGAAUGACGUCACAGUGACAUCCUUUUAAAGCCUGAACAGUAAAUGCUAAAUCUAGCCUUGGUGUCAGCACAAAUCCAUUAAUUUCCAUAGAGCUGCACUGCCUUAUACCAUGAUGCAGUGUCAUAUCUUUGCAAAAAUAUGUGUAUUAUGGGAACAUUAUACCUGCCUUUGAAGCAUCUGUGACUGGGUCACUGUUGGAGGCUGGAUAUUAGAUUAGGUGGACCAUUGGUCUGUUUCACUACAACAGUUAGAAUCACUCAUGGAGGAUAUCAUGCAGGCUUUCUUAUAGCUACAUGAGAUGAAACUCAUUGUUAAAGCUAAUAUAAAAUCUGUUUAUUCCAAGACCAUCAAUGCCAUUAGAGUCCUUUAUCUUUAUAGUGCUUAUAGACUUUGGAGAUUUUGAUCAACGAAGACCCACAUGGAUUUAAUUUCCCCAGAUCACACAUUCCACAAAUAAAACCGGACAGAUUUCUUUUUAAAUUCAUUUUAGAUUCCUCCUUUCUUGUUCAAAUCUAACUUUUCUGGCAAGCUGAAAAGAUUAAAAAGACUAGUUCAUCUUUUAGAAGAAAUGUUAUACUAUAAUACCCCAUGGUCAAGAAACUAAGCACUGUUAUGCAUUAUAGACUUUUAUUAGCAGCUGCAGUGAUUCCCUCAAAUAAAAAAAAAAAUUCAGAGCCAGCAGGACCUGAGCUUCUCAUGAGAAACCGUAAAUAACAAACCACUGUUUGUUUUGAGGAUAUAAAGUUUAGUUAGAAAGCAGUUUCAAGUUUCCAAACAAUUAUAAACAGAAAGAAAGAAAGAAAGGUUUAAAGUCUCCUCUUAAACAAUUUUUUCUCCUUUAAAAUAUUUUAUCUUAUGAUAUUGCAUUUAAUAGAUAAACAAUUUCACAUCAAGACUGGCAUAUUUCAGUUGAACUGGAUGGAUAUUCACAGCCGAUGGAAAUACCAUUCAGAGUGUACUGUUCUGUGUUACCAUAUUAUUCUCAUGAUGGCAUUUUAAAUUGAGAAUGACACUCCAAUAUGACAUGCAGGAGGUAGUUUGUGAAAUAUAACUUUGCAGAGACACACCUAUUUUAUUGUAGAAAUUUAUCAAUCUUUCUUAAUCUCAGUAUCAGGGGGUAGCCGUGUUAGUCUGUAUCCACAAAAACAACAAGGAGUCCAGUGGCACCUUAAAGACUAACAGAUUUAUUUGGGCAUAAGCUUUUGUGGGUAAAAAACCUCACUUCUUCAGAUGCAUGGAGUGAAAGUUACAGAUCUGUAACUUUCACUCCAUGCAUCUUAAUCUUAGGAGUCAGAACUUCUAUUGGAAUUGUCCUUUGCAAACAAGAAAGCUUUUGGGAAACACACAGAGUCUUACAAGUUCUUUUUCUUAGUAUGAGCAAGUUUCCAGGCUUGGAAGAAAAUGCUGUGCUGGAGUUGGUUUUCUGUGGCAGAUUUUUUGUGGGAGCUGCAGUAAUCAUCAACGAAGUUUGCUCUCUGCCUUAAUCUCUGCAGCCGGUGUCAAUUCUUGCAGCAGAGUUGCUCCCUGGGAAGGGGGAUCAGUGUUUAGGAUGAGAUCUCUGAAAGAGGGGUUUGCUGGCAUGCUUGUUGUGAAUAGAGCUGGUCGGGGAAUUAUUUGACAACGUGUUUUCAACGGAAAAUGCUGAUUUGUCAAAAACACAUUCCUCUGAAAAGUUUUAUCAGUUUCGAUGGGAAAGUUUCUCAAGUCCAGAAUGGAAUUUCUGGUCAAAGCCAGAAAAGGGCAGAAAGAUAACCCUACUCCAAAUAGCCAAUUGGUUAGGGCACUCUCUUGCAAUGUGGGAGACCCUGAUUCAAAUCCCUCUUCUCAGAGGGUCUUGAACCUGGGUCUGUGAGGUGAGUUUUCUAACUACUGGGCUGUUCUGGGGUGAGUCUCUCUCUGAUUUUUCAUGAAAAACUUCAAAAGGUCCAUUCUAUAUUAUUGUUCAGCUCUCUUCUCCCUCCCUCCCAUACUUCAUUGUUGGAAUCCUUUCAGAGAUUACACCCAAUGCUGAUUUCAGCAGGAAAUGUAGAGAUGUCAUAGGGAGUUUUAGGAGGAACCCUUCUGAAGUGCAUUAUUUCAACUUUAACUCACUACCUCGUGCUCAGCUAAACUGCCCAUUUUGUUCUCUAUUGUGACCCUUGUAAUAAGCUUCAAUUAGGAACAACAGACAUUGCCCAGAAACCAGGCAUAAAUUAUGUAAUACUGAGCACCAAAGCAAACUGAGUAGACUAAACAAAACAUAUGCCCUGCCACUGUGCAUGAUUAGCCAUGGCUAGAUUUGCUGGAAGGUAUGUGAUGUGGGUCCGGCAUGCAGUUUGCGUGUUAAAUGCUUGGUGGACUUGCAAUGAAACACGAACAGACACAAAGCAAAUACCCCUGCUUAGUGCAAGUGCCGGCUCUAUCUUAAAGGGAAAUUGGGGCAGUGCUCUGAAACUGGCUUGCUCAAUGGAAAACAGCUGCAUCCUCUCCCCCGCCCCCCAGUUACAAUAAUUUCCUCACAUCGAGCCUUGCUAGACAUUGUUAUUAUCGGAGUUGUUUGAUGACAACAGGUACCAUAGAAAGCAUUUAUUUGUUCAAAGCAACAGGGGAUAUGAAAGCAAGUUGCCACCCUGCACGGAGAUGAUACAAUGAAUUAUUCCUGCUGGUGUCUGAAUACGCUCAAAGUGGUUUCAUUUUAGGGGAAGAUGAUACAUAAUAAAGUACAUUUUACAGAACUGUUUUCAUCUUCUUUGUUCUGUGCUUUUUACAGGACAAUCUACAUUUAACACUUAGAAUGCUACAAUUUCCAGAUUGCCAGCCAGAAAGAGAUUUAUGUCUGCAACUUCCAGAAGACUAAAUUACAGUAAAUUGCUUUAACUAAUACGCAGGCUUUACGGGUGGUUUGUCUUGACACCUUUCCAAGAUCUCACAUCAGGAAUAACUAAGGGAUUCCGUCUCGGAUUUCUUUCUAUUUUCUCUGACUUGCUCUUUUUGGGCUCAGUCCUGCAAGGUUCUGAGAGCUCUGGCCUCAAUCCAACAAGGCGCAUAAGCACGUGGUUACUUUAAGAACAUGAAUAGUCCCACUGACUUUACUGGAUUGGGGACAGAAUGCUCAGCAUUUUACAGGAUAGAGCCCAUUAUUUUUAUUUGUAUAGUGGCAACAUAAGAACAUAAGAACGGCCAUACUGGGUCAGAACAAAGGUCCAUGUAGCCCAGUAUCCUGUCUGCUGACAGUGGCCAAUGCCAGGUCUUUCAGAGGGAAUGAACAGAACAGGUCAUCAUCAAGGGAUCCAUCCCCUCUUGCCCAUUUCUAGCUUCUGGCAAACAGAGGCUAGGGACACCAUCCCUUCCCAUACUGGCUAAUAGCCAUUGAUGGACCUAUCCUCUAUGAAUUUAUCUAGUUUUUUUUAAGCCUGUUAUCGUCUUGGCCUUCACAACAUCCUCUGACAAAGAGUUCCACAGACUGACUGUGCGUUGUGUGAAGGAAUACUUCCUUUUCUUUGUUGUAAACCUGCUGCCUAUUAAUUUCAUUUGGUGACUACUAGUUCUUGUGUUAAGAGAAGGAGUAAAUAAUGCAAAAGUGUGCUGGUUACUUCACAGGUAAAAAUAAAAAUGAGUUCUGCCACCAAAGAGUUUAUAGUCUAGAGCAGUGGUUUUCAAACUUUUGUAUUGGUGACCCCUUUCACACAGCAAGCCUAUGAGUGUGAUCCGUCCCCCAUAAAGUGAAAACACAUUUUUAAUAUUUAUUUUAUAUUGUUUUAUUUUACAUGUAUUAUAAAUGCUGUAGGCAAAACGGGCUUUGGGGGUGGAGGCUGACAGCUCGGGACCCCCCAUGGAAUAACCUCAUGGCUCCCUGAGUGAUCACGACCCCCAGUUUGAGAACCCCCGCUCUAGAGCUUUGAUUCGACAAACGCCUCUACAGACUAUACGUAACUUCAUGCCUAUGAGCAGCUGCAUUGCCAUCACCGGGCCUAAUUAAUGGAGCAAAGUUAAGCAUGUGCACCGGUGUUUUCAAGAUUGGCCCCUAAGGUGUACAGGAGGCCGUUACAGGUGCCAGUAUCUGCUAGAGAUGAAGGAAAUUUACAAGAGGGACAUGGAACUUGAUAGUGUCAAGAAGCACUCUUUGGAAAACAGCAAACCCAGCCCUGCCCACCUGCCUGAGUUCCUCUUUCACUGUUGGUUUCUUCAUUUCAAGAGGGCUGGAGGAGGAAAAGCCUUAACUCUUGUAGGAUAAGUAUAAAAUUAAAGAAUUAAAGUUAGCUUAAGUUUUUGGUUAAGGAUAAAGAUAUGUGUUGAAAAGAAGGCCCCAAUCAGCAAGUAAAAGAGGUCGUGAGAAUAAUAAGUAGUAUUACUUGUAGUGUGGGAAGGAUGUAUGGUUUCAAAAGUAACUAAUAAAAUAAAGAGAUGCAGUAAGAAGACAAAGAAAAACUGUCUUAAAAGAAACAAGCCCAAACCUUCCCACUGUUCUUCUGGUAAGCAAAGAGUGGGGAAGAAGAUAAGAAAGGAAAUGCCUUGGGAAGAAAAGAGACACUAAAUUUUAUCUGAAUUAAGCCUGGAAAUAAGGGUGAAUGGUCUCAAAUUGGUUUUUAGCUGGAGUCAGUAAUUGGCAAUGACAUCACUUGUUUGUUAAAGGGUAUAAAAAAUAAACUCUUAAAGGGUUCAUUGCUAAUACCUGCCUGACCACGUUGGAGCCAACCAAUAUGGGACCGAGCAUGGGUUUAGCCCAUUUGUAAGUAUAUUGAUCAAAUGUGUUAUAAAUGUUUUGUGACUGUUUGGAUCUAUUAAAUUGCUUAUUAGUUAGGCUUUUUUGGAACGUUUAGAGAAACUGCAUAAAGUACCCUGUGGCCUUUGGAUUUAAUAAAGGAAUUUAUGGCUAAAUUGGUGUUUGGUGAUUUCCCAUAUUAAUAAUUUCAAAUAUUAUUAUUAAUUCCAACAGCUCUGUUUAGAAUUUCCUCACUGACAAAAUAAAUGAA